CGAUGGCUCAGGAUGAACGCUAGCGACAGGCCUAACACAUGCAAGUCGAGGGGCAGCGCGGGAGAAGCUUGCUUUCCUGGCGGCGACCGGCGCACGGGUGCGUAACAGGUGUGCAAUCUGUCCAUAGUCGGGGGAUAGCCCAGCGAAAGCUGAAUUAAAACUCCAUGUGAGUCGAAGCCGCAUGACUUUGAUUUGAAACGCAAGGACUAUGGGUGAGCACGCUUCUGAUUAGAUAGUUGGUGAGGUAACGGCUCACCAAGUCGACGAUCAGUAGGGGUUCUGAGAGGAAGGUCCCCCACAUUGGAACUGAGACACGGUCCAAACUCCUACGGGAGGCAGCAGUGAGGAAUAUUGGUCAAUGGGCGAGAGCCUGAACCAGCCAAGUCGCGUGAAAGGAUGAAGGUUCUAUGGAUUGUAAACUUCUUUUGUCCGAGGGUAAAAAAGGCUACGUGUAGCUUCUUGCAAGUAUCGGACGAAUAAGCAUCGGCUAACUCCGUGCCAGCCGCUGC
rnacentral:rRNA from 1 species